rnacentral:rRNA from 1 species
GGUGCAAGUCGAACGAAUCCCACUGCUGUAGCAAUACAGUGGUGGGGGAAGUGGCGAAAGGGGCAGUAAGGCGUGGGUAACCAACCCCGGGGACCGGGAUAGCCUUCCUAACGGAAGGGUAAUACCGGGCGAUGUGGCCGAGGCGCAUGUUUUGGCCAUGAGAUGAAUUUCGCCUCGGGACGGGCUCACGUGGUAUUAGCUAGUUGGUGAGGUAACGGCCCACCAAGGCAAAGAUGCCUAGCAGGUGUGAGAGCACGACCUGCGCCACUGGCACUGAGACACUGGCCAGACUCCUACGGGAGGCUGCAGUCGAGGAUCUUCGGCAAUGGGCGCAAGCCUGACCGAGCGACGCCGCGUGUGCGAUGAAGGCCUUCGGGUUGUAAAGCACUGUCGGGGGGGAGAAAACCGCAAGGUUGAUCUAUCUCCGGAGGAAGCACGGGCUAAGUUCGUGCCAGCAGCCGCGGUAAGACGAACCGUGCGAACGUUGUUCGGAAUCACUGGGCUUAAAGGGCGCGUAGGCGGGCUGCCAAGUCCGGGGUGAAAGCUUUCGGCUUAACCGGAAAAGUGCCUUGGAUACUGGCGGUCUCGAGGGAGGUAGGGGCAUGUGGAACUUCCGGUGGAGCGGUGAAAUGCGUUGAUAUCGGAAGGAACGCCGGUGGCGAAAGCGAUGUGCUGGACCUCUUCUGACGCUGAGGCGCGAAAGCCAGGGGAGCGAACGGGAUUAGAUACCCCGGUAGUCCUGGCCCUAAACGAUGGGUACUAGUAGUAGACUUGACAUGGGUUUACUGCCGAACAAAAGUGUAAGUACCCCGCCUGGGGAGUAUGGUCGCAAGGUGAAACUCAAGGAAUUGACGGGGGCUCACACAAGCGG